GAGCCAUUAGCUCAGUCGGUAGAGCAUCUGACUUUUAAUCAGAGGGUCGGAGGUUCGAAUCCUCCAUGGCUCA
rfam:Bacillus thermoamylovorans genome assembly, strain 1A1, contig: A1A_CC72